rnacentral:rRNA from 1 species
GUGUCAGCCGCCGCGGUAAUACGGAGGGGGCGAGCGUUGUUCGGAAUCAUUGGGCGUAAAGGGCGCGUAGGCGGCCUAGCAAGUCGGGUGUGAAAUCCCUCGGCUCAACCGAGGAACCGCACUCGAUACUGCUGGGCUAGAGUCCGGGAGGGGAUGGUGGAAUUCCCAGUGUAGCGGUGAAAUGCGUAGAUAUUGGGAAGAACACCGGUGGCGAAGGCGGCCAUCUGGACCGGUACUGACGCUGAGGCGCGAAAGCUAGGGGAGCGAAUGGGAUUAGAAACCCCCGUAGUCC